rnacentral:rRNA from 1 species
UACGUAGGGUGCAAGCGUUGUCCGGAAUUAUUGGGCGUAAAGCGCGCGCAGGCGGUUUCUUAAGUCUGAUGUGAAAUCUCGAGGCUCAACCUCGAAAUGUCAUUGGAUGCUGUCGGGCUAGAGUCCGGAAGAGGAGAGUGGAAUUCCUGGUGUAGCGGUGGAAUGCGCAGAUAUCAGGAGGAACACCAAUGGCGAAGGCAGCUCUCUGGGACGGUACUGACGCUGAGACGCGAAAGCGUGGGGAGCGAACAGG